AGGGUUUUAAGUUAAACAAAACUUUAAGUUUUCAAAACUUAGAAUGGGGGUUAUUAUCCAGACUCUG
rnacentral:tRNA from 1 species